rnacentral:rRNA from 1 species
AUUGAACGCUGGCGGCAUGCCUUACACAUGCAAGUCGAACGGCAGCACGGACUUCGGUCUGGUGGCGAGUGGCGAACGGGUGAGUAAUGUAUCGGAACGUACCUUUCAGUGGGGGAUAACGUAGCGAAAGUUACGCUAAUACCGCAUAUUCUGUGAGCAGGAAAGCAGGGGAUCGCAAGACCUUGCGCUGAUUGAGCGGCCGAUAUCAGAUUAGCUAGUUGGUGGGGUAAAGGCCUACCAAGGCGACGAUCUGUAGCGGGUCUGAGAGGAUGAUCCGCCACACUGGAACUGAGACACGGUCCAGACUCCUACGGGAGGCAGCAGUGGGGAAUUUUGGACAAUGGGGGCAACCCUGAUCCAGCCAUGCCGCGUGAGUGAAGAAGGCCUUCGGGUUGUAAAGCUCUUUCGGUCCGGGAAGAAAUACGCACAGGCUAAUAACCCUGUGUGGAUGACGGUACCGGAAUAAGAAGCACCGGCUAACUACGUGCCAGCACG